UUUGGUGAUUAAAUGUAGGGGAAAUUUUUAGCUUCUAUUAUAUGGAGAGUAGAAGUGAUGGGACGUUGUAGAGGUGAAGUCUCUUUUUUUUUUUUUUCUUUUCUUUAUUUCUUUAAGAAUGAAUGUUUUGAUUCCAAUUGAAGAGGUGGUAGGUGGCAUUAGGAAUAGGCGUACGGUGAUGAGGAAAGAAGAGUUUAUUUCCAUCUUGUUUCAUUUAGC
rnacentral:lncRNA from 1 species